ensembl:lncRNA
AUUUAGUCUUUGUGAUGUUAGUGGUUAAUGUUCCCUGCUGGAUGUUCCUGUUCAAGUAGCAGUAGAGACAGGCGGUCAGAGAGAGGCAGCAGAGACAGGCGGUCAGAGAGAGGCAGCAGAGACAGGCGGUCAGAGAGAGGCAGCAGAGAGGCAGUCUAAGAGAGGCAGCAGAGAGGCAGUCUAAGAGAGGCAGCAACUGCAGCAGAGAGAGGCAGUCUGAGAGAGGCAUCAGAGAGGCAGCAACGGCAGCAGAGAGAGGCAGUCUGAGAGAGGCAGCAGAGAGGCAGUCUAAGAGAGGCAGCAACUGCAGCAGAGAGAGGCAGCCUGAGAGAGGCAGUCUGAGAGAACCAGCAAUGGCAGCAGCCUAACAGAGAUGUUGUGGUUAUGGCCUCAUAAAGACAGGAGCUACCCGCCUCUUUAACAGUAAAUUAAAGACACAGACACUUUGAUGUUCAGAUCUCACUUACAGUACUUCCUAUAUAUAGCCUUGUGAGUGAGCCUUUCUCUCUUUUAUUCUGUCUCUCUCUUCUAUUCUACCUACAGUCAAAUUGCUCCAUCUGUACCUGACGUGAUGCUCCCAUACCUCCCACAGGAGGAGGACUUUAUAGUGAGUGGUUCCUGAUCCAAGUCACACACUGGCCUCCCAGGCCUCAGUGCUACAAAAACCCCACUAAGCUCUCUCCAGACCAAUCAGAGCACAGCAGUGCCAAAGGCCAUGGGGUUCAAUCACUUCUGUUACAAUGAGGUUUUUCCUUUUUACAAAUACAUUAGUAAUACCAUAUCUUAUGCAUUCAGUGUUCAAAGUAUGACACCUGCCAUUAGAAAAUACAUAGUCAGGAAAUCAUCACCUAGUCUAUAUAGGUGCUAUGAGUCAAUUUCCAAACAGCCCAUAUUGUCAGUACAGAAUCAGUUGUCCCUAAAUUAGAUAUAUACAGUAUUUUGUCGAGUGUUGUUGUUUGUGAAAUGGACAUGAGUUCAGCAAGCCAGUGGCUAUUCAUCUUGAUGAGAUAGCAGUUAACUGAGGGCUAAGCUGCUGGGCCAGGGAGCCAUAACACUCGCUCGAAUCCUAAUAAUCCUAACUUGAUUUCCAGGAAUACAUUUCGCCCUCUCUCAGUGAAGCCUUAAUUAGUUUUAUUUGAAUGUAUUCCAGAUAACGAUCAGACUUUGGUGAACACACAGCGUUUGUCAGGAAAGAGAAAUCAACCACACAGCCAAAGUUAUCAAAGCUUGAAAUCAGGAAUCCUGACUGCAACAAAAUGUCAUCUUUUUCAUACAGAGGGGACAAUAGAAGGAGCUGAAUUCUCUACAUCUCCUUCUCUCUCCUCCACUUUAAUUAAAAGAGCUCUCUGAAUCUCUCAUUUCUCUCCCUCUCCCACUUUUGUACUCUCUCUCUCUCUCUCUCUCUCUUUCUCUCUCUCUCUCUCUCUUUCUCUCUCUCCCUCUUUCUUUCUUUCUUUCUCAUUCUAUAUUUUCUAUGUCAUAGAGGUUACAUAAUUCAGGGAAAGAGAGAGAUGAUGUUUGAUAGAAUGUCAUACCUUUAGAAUAAACAUUGGGC